AGAUCGAAAGAUGAAAAGCAUGGAAGUAAAAGUCGUAACAAGGUCUCCGUAGGUGAACCUGCGGAGGGAUCAUUACAAGUGACCCCGGUCUAACCACCGGGAUGUUCAUAACCCUUUGUUGUCCGACUCUGUUGCCUCCGGGGCGACCCUGCCUUCGGGCGGGGGCUCCGGGUGGACACUUCAAACUCUUGCGUAACUUUGCAGUCUGAGUAAACUUAAUUAAUAAAUUAAAACUUUUAACAACGGAUCUCUUGGUUCUGGCAUCGAUGAAGAACGCAGCGAAAUGCGAUAAGUAAUGUGAAUUGCAGAAUUCAGUGAAUCAUCGAAUCUUUGAACGCACAUUGCGCCCCCUGGUAUUCCGGGGGGCAUGCCUGUUCGAGCGUCAUUUCACCACUCAAGCCUCGCUUGGUAUUGGGCAACGCGGUCCGCCGCGUGCCUCAAAUCGACCGGCUGGGUCUUCUGUCCCCUAAGCGUUGUGGAAACUAUUCGCUAAAGGGUGUUCGGGAGGCUACGCCGUAAAACAACCCCAUUUCUAAGGUUGACCUCGGAUCAGGUAGGGAUACCCGCUGAACUUAAGCAUAUCAAUAA
rnacentral:sRNA from 1 species